UACGGGGGGGGGCAAGCGUUUGUUCGGAAUUACUGGGCGUAAAGGGCUCGUAGGCGGCCAACUAAGUCAGACGUGAAAUCCCUCGGCUUAACCGGGGAACUGCGUCUGAUACUGGAUGGCUUGAGGUUGGGAGAGGGAUGCGGAAUUCCAGGUGGUAGCGGUGAAAUGCGUAGAUAUCUGGAGGAACACCGGUGGCGAAGGCGGCAUCCUGGACCAAUUCUGACGCUGAGGAGCGAAAGCCAGGGGAGCAAACGGG
rnacentral:rRNA from 1 species